rnacentral:rRNA from 1 species
AACGUAGGACACAAGCGUUAUCCGGAGUUACUGGGCGUAAAGGGCGUGUAGGCGGAUCGGUAAGUCUACUCUGAAAGCUCCUGGCUAAACUGGGAGAGGCGAGUGGAGACUGUCGGUCUAGAGUGAGGAAGAGGAAAGUGGAAUUCCGCGUGUAGUGGUGAAAUGCGUAGAGAUGCGGAGGAACACCAGUGGCGAAAGCGGCUUUCUGGUCCUUAAC